CGUCUCGCUCUCGAGCUUCGCGUCAGGUGAACCGCGGGAAAUAAAAAUUUAGUGUCAGUUUCAGUGAUUUAAUUCUCAGAAACGAGUCUGUAAAGUACGCGCUGUGUAUCUGCUUAAAGAUAAAGUUCCUGCCACAUGUGUUAUUUAGUCAGAGCUUAUUAAAGGACAAGAAUCUGACGACGGUAAUCUCGUCAACGGCUAAACUGUUAUCUGGAAAGUAAGAAAUGGAUAAAAAGACGUUGGUGAAGUGGCGCCAUGCUAAGCUCCUUAAGUUCGAUGGAAAAUGGCCACAUGUCAAGGAGGGCUGCUGAGGUUGAGAGAGUCUCAGUGUCCAACAGUGAAGACCCGGAUAUUGUAGAUAACAGUAUCUGCCUACAUGCACAUCAGGAUGGGUUUUCCAUAUUCUUGUUCAUGAUAAUAGCAGCAAGUUUGAUAUUUAGUACAUUGCUUUACAACCACAUCCACAGAAUGUUACUGUUUUUGUAGCCCCAGAUAAUUACAUAUCCUAAAUCAUUUCAUUCUAGGACUAUGCUGUAAAAGAGAAAAUUGCAACAAGGCCUGGAUCUCGAAAACUUGAAUCUACUAGUGAAUCAGAUGGGCCAUGCCAAUCCAUCUUAAGGCAGUCUGAGCUACUAAAAUAAUGAAAUAAAAAAAAAAGAAGAUCUGUCUGCAUUAGUGCAGAUGAAGGUGGCUGAACAGAUUUUCCCCAUGAAGGAGGUCCAGAAAGUGUACUUCACCAGCAAAUUCAACAAUGUGGACAAGCUAGGAAAACAAGAGGUGUAAUUCAUGUCACAAUUCACACCCCACACACACACAAAGACAUAGGACACAUCCAAGCACCCAAUGCUGCCAUAAUUAAAUGCAUAGUGAAUGAUUAUGAAUGAGAUUUUUUCAUUAUGUAUGUAUAGAGUUUAUAAAUAGAUUUAUACCACAAUACAUUAUUCAAUUAUAUAAUUGUAUAUUAUAUUACUGUAUAAUAAAAUUAUAUUAAUGUAUAAUUACCAUUGUAAAAGAAAUUAUUAAGUGUAAUAUAAUUGUUAUGUAACAAAUACAAUCUAUUACUAUCAUUUUCUAUAUUACUAUUAUUAUAGUACAUUUAACAUUACAAUAUAGAAUGCCAAGUUGGUAAAUGUGUUAUCAGUUUACCAUUUAGAAGGUUUCCUUACCAGUUGUUUUUGUGCCUGUGUUUGAAAUCAUACAGUUGCAUAAUAAAUGGCAAAGAGCCAAAGAUA